rnacentral:rRNA from 1 species
GGUUAAGUAAAAUAAGCGUACAUGGUGAAUGCCUUGGCAGUCAGAGGCGAUGAAGGACGUGCUAAUCUGCGAAAAGCGCCGGUAAGUUGAUAAGAAACGUUAUUAGCCGACGAUAUCCGAAUGGGGAAACCCAUCACAUUUUUAUGUGAUAUUAUUUAUUGAAUAUAUAAAUAAAUAAAGCAAACCAGGGGAACUGAAACAUCUAAGUACCUUGAGGAAAAGAAAUCAAUUGAGAUUCCCUAAGUAGUGGCGAGCGAAAAGGGAAAAGCCCUGAGUAAUAAUUAUAUUAUAUUUUUUAAUAGAAUAAUUUUGGAAAAAUUAGCGAUACAAGGUGAAAGCCCCGUAUAUGAAAAAAAAUAUAUUAUAAGCUCAAAAAGUAGAACGAGACACGUGAAAUCUUGUUUGAAGAUAGGGGGACCAUCCUCUAAGGCUAAAUACUCCUGACUGACCGAUAGUGAACUAGUACCGUGAGGGAAAGGUUAAAAGAACCCCUGUUAGGGGAGUGAAAUAGAUCCUGAAACCGUGUACGUACAAGCAGUAGGAGCUCAAUUUUUUAGAGUGACUGCGUACCUUUUGUAUAAUGGGUCAGCGACUUGUACUCUGUAGCAAGGUUAACCGAAAUUUUUAAGGGGAGCCGUAGGGAAACCGAGUCUAAAAUGGGCGAAUUAGUUGCAGGGUACAGACCCGAAACCCGGUGAUCUAGCCACGGGCAGGUUGAAAAUUAGGUAAAACUAAUUGGAGGACCGAACCGACUGAUGUUGAAAAAUCAGCGGAUGACCUAUGGUUAGGGGUGAAAGGCCAAUCAAACCGGGAGAUAGCUGGUUCUCCUCGAAAGCUAUUUAGGUAGCGCCUCGUGAAUUCAUCUAUAGGGGUAGAGCACUGUUUCUGUUAUGGGGGUCAUACCGACUUACUAGGCCGAUGCAAACUCCGAAUACUAUAGAAUGCUAUCACGGGAGACACACAGCGGGUGCUAACGUUCGUUGUGGAAAGGGAAACAACCCAGAUCGCCAGCUAAGGUCCCAAAAUUAUAGUUAAGUGGGAAACGAUGUGAGAAGGCAAAAACAGCCAGGAUGUUGGCUUAGAAGCAGCCAUCAUUUAAAGAAAGCGUAAUAGCUCACUGGUCAAGUCGGCUUGCGCGGAAGAUUUAACGGGGCUAAACUAUAUACCGAAGCUGCGGCAGUAAAAUUUUUACUGGGUAGAGGAGCGUUCUGUAAACUGUUGAAGAUACAUUGUAAAAUGUAUUGGAGGAAUCAGAAGUGCGAAUGCUGACAUGAGUAACGAUAAAGCAGGUGAAAAACCUGCUCGCUGAAAAACUAAGGUUUCCUGUCCAACGUUAAUCGAGGCAGGGUAAGCCGACCCCUAAGGCGAGGCUGAAAAGCGUAGUCGAUGGACAACAGGUUAAUAUUCCUGUGCUUGAAUUUAUUGCGAAGGGAGGACGAAAAAGGUUAGAUUAUCCAAGCGAUGGUUGUCUUGGUUUAAACGUGUAGACGUGAAUAUUUAGGAAAAUCCGAAUAUUUGUUAAGUUAAGGCGUGAUGACGAGUUAUUACGGUAACAAAGUAAUUGAUACCAUGUUUCCAAGAAAAUUCUCUAAGCAUCAGAUAAAUUCAAAUCGUACCACAAACCGACACAGGUAGUUAGGUAGAGUAUACUAAAGCGCUUGAGAGAACCCAGGUGAAGGAACUAGGCAAAAUGGUGCCGUAACUUCGGGAGAAGGCACGCUAACACGUAAGUAAUAGGAUUUACUUCUAAAGCUGAAGUUAGUCGAAGAUACCAGCUAGCUGCAACUGUUUAUUAAAAACACAGCACUGUGCAAACAUGAAAAUGGAAGUAUACGGUGUGACGCCUGCCCGGUGCCGGAAGGUUAAGUGGAAAGGUUAGAAUGAAAGUUCAAAGCUUUGAAAUGAAGCCCCGGUAAACGGCGGCCGUAACUAUAACGGUCCUAAGGUAGCGAAAUUCCUUGUCGGGUAAGUUCCGACCUGCACGAAUGGCGUAAUGAUGGCCAGGCUGUCUCCACCCGAGACUCAGUGAAAUUGAACUCGCUGUGAAGAUGCAGUGUACCCGCGGCAAGACGGAAAGACCCCGUGAACCUUUACUAUAGCUUGACAUUGAAUAUUGAUAUUUAAUGUGUAGGAUAGGUGGGAGGCAUUGAAUCUGAUGCGCCAGCAUCAGUGGAGCCACACUUGAAAUACCACCCUUUAAAUAUUAAUAUUCUAACCUAGUACCGUAAACCGGUACAGAGACAAUGUCUGGUGGGUAGUUUGACUGGGGCGGUCUCCUCCUAAAGAGUAACGGAGGAGUACAAAGAUUGGCUAGUUACGGUUGGAAAUCGUAAUUUUCGUGCAAAGGCAUAAGCCAGUUUAACUGAGAGCGUGAUGACGCGAUCAGAUGCGAAAGCAGGUCUUAGUGAUCCGGUGGUUCUGAAUGGAAUGGCCAUCGCUCAACAGAUAAAAGGUACUCCGGGGAUAACAGGCUAAUACCGCCCAAGAGUUCAUAUCGACGGCGGUGUUUGGCACCUCGAUGUCGGCUCAUCACAUCCUGGGGCUGAAGUAGGUCCCAAGGGUAUGGCUGUUCGCCAUUUAAAGUGGUACGCGAGCUGGGUUUAGAACGUCGUGAGACAGUUCGGUCCCUAUCUGCCGUGGGCGUUGGAAGAUUGAGGGGGGUCUAUUUCUAGUACGAGAGGACCGAAGUGGACGUAUCACUGGUGUUCGGGUUGUCAUGCCAAUGGCAUUGCCCGGUAGCUAUAUACGGAAAAGAUAAGUGUUGAAAGCAUCUAAACACGAAACUUGCCCCAAGAUUAAUCUUCCCUGAAACUUUCUUUAAAAGAAAGUUUACUGAAGGGUCGUUGUAGACUACGACGUAGAUAGGCUAGAUGUGUAAGCACAGUAAUGUGUUAAGCUAACUAGUACUAAUUUCCCGAGAGGCUUAACCUU